rnacentral:rRNA from 1 species
GAUGAACGCUGGCGGCGUGCCUAAUACAUGCAAGUCGAGCGGACAGAUGAGGAGCUUGCUCCUCUGACGUUAGCGGCGGACGGGUGAGUAACACGUGGAUAACCUACCUAUAAGACUGGGAUAACUUCGGGAAACCGGAGCUAAUACCGGAUAAUAUAUUGAACCGCAUGGUUCAAUAGUGAAAGACGGUUUUGCUUUCACUUAUAGAUGGAUCCGCGCCGCAUUAGCUAGUUGGUAAGGUAACGGCUUACCAAGGCAACGAUGCGUAGCCGACCUGAGAGGGUGAUCGGCCACACUGGAACUGAGACACGGUCCAGACUCCUACGGGAGGCAGCAGUAGGGAAUCUUCCGCAAUGGGCGAAAGCCUGACGGAGCAACGCCGCGUGAGUGAUGAAGGUCUUCGGAUCGUAAAACUCUGUUAUUAGGGAAGAACAAAUGUGUAAGUAACUAUGCACGUCUUGACGGUACCUAAUCAGAAAGCCACGGCUAACUACGUG